ensembl:lncRNA
GUAUGAGAAGACAUUUAAAGCAACAAGCAAGACCUAGGUGUAAAUCGUUGUUGCUUUCAAAAUAAAACCAGCUGGAUAAAAAUCGCCCGUGAAGAAGAACCGUACAAUCGUUCAGGUUAUGGUUAAGGUGUUAUGGCUCAGAUAACAAAGUAAUGCAACUUUAGCUGAAAAAAGGAAAUGUACAUAAUGAGUACGUAUUUGGUCAUGUUAAACGUUGUAUUUCAAUAUGGGUUUUAUUUUGAAACUUGGGAAGGGACGUCUCUCUAACUUUGGAGUUAGUUACACCUUGCUGCGUCCCACCCAUAAAACCUGUGUGCAUUUGCCAUAAAAGUGCACAGGUGGGUCUGUGAGACGUGGACAGAGGACAGCUACGGACCCAAAUGGAGAGCAAGACUCCGUCCAAAGGUCCUGUCGGAGCAGGUGCCUGUGGUCUGCAGCCCCUUCCUGAGGUAGCCGAGCCCGAAGACCUGAGCAAUGUGGAGGGCAGCAAGUGCCAACCCGGACACCCUGCAGGGGCAAGAGAUGCAAAGGAGGUGCACUCAUUGGACAGCUCUCCGUCUUCCUCGGAGAGCGAGGACGAGGGUCUCUGCAAGAAAGACAAGAAGAAGAAAAAGCUGAAAAAGAAAACAAAGAAGAAGAAGAAGAAGGAUUCCAGCUCAUCCUCUUCCUCCUCCUCCUCCUCCUCCUCCUCCUCCAGUAGCUCUUCAGAGAGUGACAGCGAGGAUGACAAGAAGAAGAAGAAGAAAAAGCAGAAGAAGGACGAAGGGCAGAAAGAGUGUGUCCGGGACGAUGUUAUCAUAUGUAGUCCUGGUGGCCAGAUGGAGCAGCCGGGUGCAGAAGGUGCAGAAGGUGUGAAGAUGAGCCAGGAUUGUAACUCCUCAGAUGGUGAAGAUGACAAGAAGAAGAAGAAGAAGAAGAAGAAGAAGAAGAAGAAGCAGGACAAGAAGAAGAAGAAAAAGAAGAAGGAUUCGUCUUCUUCCUCAUCUGACUGUUCCUGCUCCGACUGCGAGGACGAAAAGAAGAAGAAGAAGAAGAAGAAGAAGAAGAAGAGGAAGAAGAAGGACUCAAGCUCCUCUUCCUCAGACAGCUCUUCAUCAUCCUCUGACAGCGAGGAUGACAAGAAGAAAAAGGACAAGAAGAAGAAGAAGAAGAAAAAGAAAGACAAGAAAAAGGAUUCCAGCUGCUCGUCUUCAUCUUCAUCUUCUGACAGUGAUAAAGAUGAGAAGAAAAAGAAGAACAAGAAGAAGAAGAAGAAGAAGAAGAAGAAGAAUGACAAGGAAAAGAAGAACAAGAAACACGAUGAAGAGCAGAAUGAGCUCUGCGGUGGAGCUGCUCCUCCAGCUUCUGGUGAGUGUUUUUCUGCAGGUGGUGAGACUCCGGGACCAAGUGCUGAUGGAGAGAAAAAGAAAGACGAUUCUGCCGACAAGGUCAAGAAAGAGCCUAAAGAAAAAGAAAAAUGUGGAGCAAAGGCCUUCGCUGACGCUAUUGAGGAAGGCCACCUGAGUGACGACGAGGGAGAAGGAGAGAACCACAAGAAGAAGAAGAAGAAGAUGCUGAAGAAGAAGAAGGAGAAGGGUUCCGGCUCAUCAUCAGACAGUGAUGACGACGAAGAAGACAAGAAGAAGAAAAAGAAGAAGAAGGAGAAGGACUCCUCCAGCUCCUCCUCUUCGUCUGAUAGUUGCUCCUCAGAUAGUGAUGAGGACAAGAAGAAGAAGAAGAAGAAGAAGAAGAAGGAUUCUGGAUCCUGCUCGUCUUCUUCAUCCUCUGAUAGCGAAGAGGACAAGAAGAAGAAGAAGAAGAAGAAGAAGAAGAAGAAGAAGAAAAAGAAGAAGAAGAUGAAGGAUAAGGACUCCUCCUCUUCUUCAUGCUCGGAUAGUGAAGAGGACAAGAAGAAGAAGAAGAAGAAGAAGAAGAAGAAGAAGACGAAGAAGAAGAAGAAGGAUAAGGACUCCUCGUCUUCUUCAUGCUCUGAUAGUGAAGAGGACAAGAAGAAGAAGAAGACGAAGAAGAAGAAGGAUAAGGACUCCUCGUCUUCUUCAUGCUCUGAUAGUGAAGAGGACAAGAAGAAGAAGAAGAAGAAGAAGAAGAAGAAGAAGAAGACGAAGAAGAAGAAGGAUAAGGACUCGUCCUCUCCUUCAUGCUCUGAUACUGAAGAGGACAAGAAGAAGAAGAAGAAGAAGAAGAAGGUAAAACAUAAGUCCUCUUGCGCUGAGAGUGAUGACGACAAGAAGAAGAAGAAGAAGAAAAGGAAAGAUAAGAAGAAAAAGAAAGACAAGAAGAAGGACUCCGAUUCUUCUACCAGUGCUGAUGACAAAAAGAAGAAGAAAGACAAGAAGAAGAAAAAGAAGGACAAAAAGAAGGACUCAAAGUCCAGUUCAUCGUGUCCAUCUGACGGCAGUGACAAGGAGAAUAAAAAGGACAAGAAGAAGAAGAGGUCUGGUUCAUCAGGAAGUGAAACUGACAAUAAGAAAAAGAGGGAAUGCUCUGAUGGCGAGCGAGGCGGCGAAGAUCCCGGUGCCGGUCGGGCCGGACUUUCAGCUCCCGGUGGCAGCUGCUCUACGCCUGCCGCUGCUCCCGCCGUCCCCUACGUGUCCCUCCCCUCCAAACCUGUUGUGAAGAUGGAUCCUCUGCGUCCUUCAACUGUCUGCCGGCCCUCUGCCCCUGUCUCCUCUGCCCCCGCCUCUUCUGCCCCUGUCUCCUCUGCCCCCGCCUCUUCUGCCCCUGUCUCCUCUGCGCCCGCCUCUUCUGCCCCUGUCUCCUCUGCGCCCGCCUCUUCUGCCCCCGCCUCUUCUGCCCCUGUCUCCUCUGCGCCCGCCUCUUCUGCCCCUGUCUCCUCUGCGCCCGCCUCUUCUGCCCCUGUCUGCUCUGCCCCCGCCUCUUCUGUCCCUGGGUCCUAUGUCCCUGGGUCCUUUGUCGCUGGCUCCUAUGUCCCUGGGUCCUAUGUCCCCGGCUCCUCGAGUGUUGGAGAUAAGGCCCCCAAUCGUAGGCCUCCCAGCCCCAUGGAGGCCCUGAUGGGGAGCCCGAGGCGGUACGGCUCCUCCCAUCUCAGCUCAAGCGACCUAUUGAAAGGCCCCAAGCCUUAUCAAUGAUGAGAUCAAAACACGCGUUACUCGUGUUUCCUUUUAAAGCAACUGGAGGAUGUCGACCAUGAGAGGAGAUAUGAUUCCUUGAUUUCAUGCUGGAUAAAUGUGAUGACUGGUGGAAAAACGUAUUGUGACACGAUGAAAAUGUCCAAGAUGAGAAGUAUAAUCCAAACAUGGAAAGUCACGAUUGUGUUUUUAAUCAAUAAAGCGCACAUGUGUAAUAAUA